rnacentral:lncRNA from 1 species
GCGCGGAUCUUUCUUCGCAGGAUCUUCUAACCCAUCUUCUUCUCCUCCUUGUUCCCUGACUGGAAAGCCCUCUUUUUUGUCCCUCGGAGAGCUUAAUUUGUCUAUAAUUUAAGACUGAGAAUUAUAUGAGAUUCCUUGACCAAAUUAGGCUUCAUUAUAAUCUUCCAUGAUUGUUAACUCUUCUUUACUUUUCUAAAUAUUUUUGUUGAAAUCAAUUUAUUUAGGCCCACAGAACACUGGAGAGGAUCCAGCAAAUCUGUAUUCUGUAUUCCAUAAGGUGCUAUAUUAUCAAAAUAAUAUUGUUGUGUCCAGGAUCGUCAUGUUUUUGUCUUUGCAAACCUGCUGACAGGAGACCCUUAUCUCUAUGUCAUUCCGACAGUCUCCAGUAGGUGACAGUGGAGCUUCAUCACAGCUGUGAGCUGCCGGUGAACCGCAGAGAAGAAGAGCUGCCGUUUUCCACGGUGGCGGCACCUGCGUAGCAACAUUGGCUGAGAGAGGCUGCGAGAGGAGAAGUUGUCUGCUGCCCUGUUUGAACUCUAUUGUCCAACUUUGACGAUGAAUGUUCGGCAGUACAUUGAUGCUUUUCCGGCUCUUCGUUGGCCUCAAGAUGCUAACUGCUGUUAGCCUGCUAGCUGAGGUGUGUUGAUUUCGAGUUCACCUGGUAGACCAGGUUAGGAGAGGUCGAACUGAGAGAGCAGGCGAAAAAACGGAAUGGACAGGUAAGAAGACUUUACCUGAUGAUAGUAAUGUUGGAAAAUAGUUUAUUUUUUAACAGUAAACGCCCAGCUAAAGGCUCAGUCCUGAGUCUUGGUGGGUUUUCAGUUUCGGGGUUAAAUAUUAGCUCGUUUUUUUGUCUGUUUGUGUUUUUAAGGCAGAAUGUUGUAAAUAACAUUUUUAAUCAUUAGGAACUAAAGUAGUGGAGCUUCAGCAUCUGCUCAGUAAUGAUUACAUGUUGGUGACAUGAACGAAGGUAUUUAAAUGAGUUAAUCAUGUUAAAAAUUACAAACACUUUGCUUAUAUUGACCUUUAUUUCCUUUUAUUUUAUUCUGGAUGAAGCGCAUUUACUGACUCAAACCUGUCUGUACUUAGGAAUCAAGUUUUACUUGUUUGAUCCCAUUUUUUUCCCGAAUCGUGAACAAUAACAGAUUUUCACAAAAACGGCUUUGAUGUUAAUCCAUUUGAACUCCACCAAUUACCAUAAAAGCACCAAAAACAGCUGCUUCAGCAGUCAUGUGAUUUCAAAAACAUGUAACUGACAGGGUUGAUACGGGCAUGACUUGCCUGACUAGAGUGUAAUGUCCAAAUAAACUUGUUAAACCACAUACCAAGCUGGUGGGAUGAUGAAAAAACCCAUCAGCCAAUCUUCAAUUUAUUUACCGUGGGUACAUUGUUGUGUCACAGACCCAAUGUGUCACAGAUUCUGGUCAGAUAUUUUGCACAGCAGUGAAGGUGAAGUGAUGUCCAAAGUCUUGAUUUUUUCUUUUCUUUUUUUUUUUUUUAACCUGUCCUUUCAUUGUAAACAGCUGAAUUUAGUCUGAAUCAUGUGUGUGAAUUUGAAAUUCUCUAAUGUCUAAUGUAAUCUGUGAUAAAUCAGAGAUUUCUAAAUCUGCCCUGUCUGCGUGAACAUGCUUAUAGCAGCUCUGGGUUAAUUUAUCAGGUUUCAUGCAUCUCAGCUGUCAGCGGAUAACCUAAAGAUACCUGGCUGUUUUGGACAUGCUUUGGAGUGUAGGUGGUGUUGUUUUAGACUGAGAGGUUUAUAAUCUUGUAAAAGCACAGAACAAAGUCAGUAAUUGCUGCCUUUUUUUUGUUUGGUUAUUUCAGAGCUGAAGCAGGUCCACAGGAGGAUGGUAACUCACCACAGGGAGCUUCUGAGAUGAGUUCCUCAGAGGAGGUUAGAGCAUAUGUGAGUAAAGACUUUGUAGAUUUUGGUGAUAAAAGUUUAUUAGUCACACACAGCGCACCUGUUGGCACACAGGCCCUCAUUUAUCAAUCUUGCAUAGAUCUGAGCAUAGGAUUCAUUGUACGAUAGGACACACGUGAGAUUUAUGAAAGGGUUCGUAUCUGACCAAUCCCAGCGUACGUAUGAUCGGGUCUUGCUACAUGCUGUGGCUGAAAUCGAUCGUCAUUAACAUGUCACACCCUUAAAUAUUCGUGGAUCAAAAGCCUCGCCCAUUAAGGUCAAACAAGAAAAAGUAGAAAUAUUAGAAAGAUUCAAAACUUUCCGAGCUGGAAGUGAAUAUCCUCACAUCUGUGGUGGAAAGUAACAAGGAUUUUCUCUUUGGAAACAUCAAAACUGGUAUAAAAGCAGUCCAGAAAACUCCUGUCCGGAGCAGGAUUAUGGUGGUGGUGAACAGCGCUGCCACGGAAUAGCGGAUAGUAGCUGAAGUUUGAAUAAAUCAUUAGUCAAUAAGUUGUUCAUGAUGAUAAAUUAAUAUCUCAUACAUGCCUCAUAUUUUUUUAUUGCCAUGACACAGGGUACGUUGCUCCCAUUAUUGAAAGU